UACAGAGGGUGCGAGCGUUAAUCGGAAUUACUGGGCGUAAAGCGUGCGCAGGCGGUUUGUUAAGACAGAUGUGAAAUCCCCGGGCUUAACCUGGGAACUGCGUUUGUAACUGGCAAGCUAGAGUGUGGCAGAGGGGGGUGGAAUUCCACGUGUAGCAGUGAAAUGCGUAGAGAUGUGGAGGAACACCGAUGGCGAAGGCAGCCCCCUGGGCUAACACUGACGCUCAUGCACGAAAGCGUGGGGAGCAAACAGG
rnacentral:rRNA from 1 species